GUCGAGCGAACCGUGGGAGCUUGCUCCCUGAGGUUAGCGGCGGACGGGUGAGUAACACGUGGGCAACCUGCCUGUAAGACUGGGAUAACUCCGGGAAACCGGGGCUAAUACCGGAUAAUUCAUUUCCUCUCAUGAGGAAAUGCUGAAAGACGGUUUCGGCUGUCACUUACAGAUGGGCCCGCGGCGCAUUAGCUAGUUGGUGAGGUAACGGCUCACCAAGGCCACGAUGCGUAGCCGACCUGAGAGGGUGAUCGGCCACACUGGGACUGAGACACGGCCCAGACUCCUACGGGAGGCAGCAGUAGGGAAUCUUCCGCAAUGGACGAAAGUCUGACGGAGCAACGCCGCGUGAGCGAAGAAGGCCUUCGGGUCGUAAAGCUCUGUUGUUAGGGAAGAACAAGUAUCGGAGUAACUGCCGGUACCUUGACGGUACCUAACCAGAAAGCCACGGCUAACUACGUGCCAGCAGCCGCGGUAAUACGUAGGUGGCAAGCGUUGUCCGGAAUUAUUGGGCGUAAAGCGCGCGCAGGCGGUCCUUUAAGUCUGAUGUGAAAGCCCACGGCUCAACCGUGGAGGGUCAUUGGAAACUGGGGGACUUGAGUGCAGAAGAGGAGAGUGGAAUUCCACGUGUAGCGGUGAAAUGCGUAGAGAUGUGGAGGAACACCAGUGGCGAAGGCGACUCUCUGGUCUGUAACUGACGCUGAGGCGCGAAAGCGUGGGGAGCGAACAGGAUUAGAUACCCUGGUAGUCCACGCCGUAAACGAUGAGUGCUAAGUGUUAGAGGGUUUUCCGCCCUUUAGUGCUGCAGCAAACGCAUUAAGCACUCCGCCUGGGGAGUACGGCCGCAAGGCUGAAACUCAAAGGAAUUGACGGGGGCCCGCACAAGCGGUGGAGCAUGUGGGUUUAAUUCGAAGCAACGCGAAAGAAACCUUACCAGGUCUUGACAUCCUCUGACACCUCUGG
rnacentral:rRNA from 1 species